rnacentral:rRNA from 1 species
GAUUAUGGCUCAGAACGAACGCUGGCGGCAGGCUUAACACAUGCAAGUCGAACGCCCUCUUCGGAGGGAGUGGCAGACGGGUGAGUAACACGUGGGAACGUGCCCUUUGGUUCGGAACAACUCCGGGAAACUGGAGCUAAUACCGGAUACGCCCUUCGGGGGAAAGAUUUAUCGCCAAAGGAUCGGCCCGCGUCUGAUUAGCUAGUUGGUAGGGUAAUGGCCUACCAAGGCGACGAUCAGUAGCUGGUCUGAGAGGAUGGCCAGCCACACUGGGACUGAGACACGGCCCAGACUCCUACGGGAGGCAGCAGUGGGGAAUAUUGGACAAUGGGCGAAAGCCUGAUCCCAGCCAUGCCGCGUGAGUGAUGAAGGCCUUAGGGUUGUAAAGCUCUUUCGCCGAGGACGAUAAUGACGGUACUCGGAUAAGAAGCCCCGGCUAACUUCGUGCCAGCCGCCGC